rnacentral:rRNA from 1 species
UACCAGCACCCCGAGUGGUCGGGACGAUUAUUGGGCCUAAAGCAUCCGUAGCCGGUUCUGCAAGUCCCCCGUUAAAUCCAGCUGCUCAACAGAUGGGCCGCGGAGGAUACUACAGAGCUAGGAGGCAGGAGAGGCAAGCGGUACUCAGUGGGUAGGGGUAAAAUCCGUUGAUCCAUUGAAGAACACCAGUGGCGAAGGCGGCUCACUGGCCCAUAACUGACGCUGAGGCACGAAAGCGUGGGGAGCAAACAGG